rnacentral:rRNA from 1 species
CCCUUAGAUGUUCGGGGCCGCACGCGCGUUACACUGAAGGAAUCAGCACGUCUUUCUCCUUGUCCGAAAGGACUGGGUAACCCGCUGAACCUCCUUCGUGCUAGGGAUUGGGGCUUGUAAUUCUUCCCCAUGAACGAGGAAUUCCCAGUAAGCGCGAGUCAUAAGCUCGCGUUGAUUACGUCCCUGCCCUUUGUACACACCGCCCGUCGCUACUACCGAUUGGAUGGUUUAGUGAGAUCCUCGGAUUGGUCCCGGCGCGGCCUCUGGUCGUGCCGGAGUGCCGAAAAGAAUGUCGAACUUGAUCAUCUAGAGGAAGUAAAAGUCGUAACA